UGUGUAAUUUUUGCCUUAUCAGCCAACACUGAGGCAAAGAUGAAAGGCAAAAUAAAAAAUCUCCAACCAGUCCUACAUCAGGCCUGUAAGGUUGUAUGCGGGAAGCAACGGAGAAAUAAACGUCAAAGACCAAGUCUUUCACAGCCAGAGGAAGAAUGAGGGGCACAAAGUCUCAUUGGGUAUAAUAAAUGGGAGCAGGUCACACCCUAUUUAUCACCAGGACAUGUGGUAUUUCAGCAGAAACCUGCGGGCGAUCUAGGACUACAAAACGGGUAACCUUCCUCGGCAGCAGCAGGAGGUGCUGCCAGCUCUGUCUCACACAUGGAAUCAAAAAGUCACCGCAAAAGAAGAAUCAAAGUCUCAAGACACCAGAGAGGGUUUUUUCCUCACUCUAAGUUGGAAUUUAUGUUUUUUCAGCUACUUGCUAACAUCUUAUAUUUAGGUCAAGCAUUUGUUUGACAACGGUGGUUCCCAGUGAACUAAGUGAACGAAACUAGAUCACAUGGCAACAAGAGCAGCAUUUAACACUUAUAUAGUGUUUUUGUUUAUGUGUCAUGUGUAUUUUACAAAUAGA